ACGUAGGGCGCAAGCGUUGUCCGGAAUUAUUGGGCGUAAAGAGCUCGUAGGCGGUUUGUCGCGUCUGCUGUGAAAGCCCGGGGCUCAACCCCGGGUCUGCAGUGGGUACGGGCAGACUAGAGUGCAGUAGGGGAGCGAAUUCGAUUCGUGGUGUAGGUCGGUGAAAAUGCGCAGGAUAAUCAGGAGGAACAC
rnacentral:rRNA from 1 species